GAUGGUGGCUGCUUAUAGCACAUUUUAUUUCUUACUUGCAUAUGAGGGAGAAUAAUAUCUAGAAGUGUGGUGUGUGAACUAAAAAUGCUUAAAUUUCUCUUUAAUAAGGUGUGUCAGUUCCAGUUUUUUGUUUAUACUUACAUCUGCAUUGAAUGCUAAAUCCUAGCAAUAUUGACCUGCUACACCACUUAAAUGAUAGAUUAACUAUACACUCUCUACUCUUUCCUCUAUGCUUUUUAAGCAUAGACCAAAACACUAACCUUCUUUUGAACUCUCUUGGUUUUGUUGGAUCUUACCUAUUGCAAAAACAAAAUUCUGCAGCUGGACAGAAAGCCAUCAAAGUGUGUGGUGUUUGAGGACGACCCUAGGGGCAUAACUGCUGCUCACAACUGUACAAUGAUGGCUGUGGCACUUAUUGGUGCUCACCCAGCGUAUGUAUUACUGUUUUCUGGUUUUUCCCCGUAUUGUUGAAGCUCUUGAUUUGAACUGUCUUAUUGUAUCAUGUUUGGACACAAAAUGUUCUUUGCUGCCAAAAAGGUGUCCCAGACCCUUCCUCCCUCUAGGGGGUGGGUUUAGGACUAGGUGCUUUCUUCAAUAUCUGUUUGAAGUGUUGAUAUAUUGACAGAAGUUUUGGAUUUUCUUGCUUUUUUUAUUUUCUUCAAAUGCAGAAAGCAUGUCACUGCUUCUGCUUGCAAAUUUUUAUUUAGGAGUUUGAAACUUGCAGGUACGAUUUAGGGCAAGCUGACCUUGCUGUAGGUACCUUCAGUGAGCUUUCUGUGAUAAAUCUCAGGAGAUUAUUUGCACAUAAAGGCUCCAACUUUAUGGACCUAGAGAAACAAAUAGCAGAAAAAGCACCGCGCAGAAGGAAGCUCACAAUUGACACCAUUUUCUGAACCAGUUUGGUACAACAGUCUAGCACCUCAUUUUCCUACUUGUAAAUGCUCUCUUAGUGUUAGAAUCUGUAGGUCUUGCCGUCCCUUGCCUUCAUUCAUUCUUUAGAUAAAUAGAGCUGGUAGAAGAUGAUUUCCCUUGAGGUAAUCUGAAACUCAGAAAUCCGUUUCUCGUCUUCUUUUCUCUCUUUUUUCUUUUGGGGUUUCUGUUUGUUCGUGUGAUCAAGCCGUUAAUUCAAACUGAUAUCUACCAGCAGUGGUGGUGGAAUUACGAUCCAUGUCACAACUGCAAUAUUGUAAUUUCUGCCAAGUAUAUAUAUAUAUAUAUGAAAAGAUUGUAACUUCUGUUCUUUUACAUUCCAGUUUUGAAUGAAAUUAUUGAUUGUUCGACUUGUCGCUUCGGGGUUAUGUUCCUAUUUAUGAUUUUCUGAUGACAGAAUAAGUAGCGUCUCAGCAUUACCAGUUUGAUACUUGAAGACUUGCAGUUUUCAGUAUUAGUUUGAGUUUCUUUUUCAAGGCAAAGAGAUUCAAGUUUGAAGUUUUUCCUUGGAGGGACACUUUGUAUUUGUAUUAAAGAAACAUUUGUGAGGCAGUCUCAAGUUUUUAUUUUUUACACUUAUCCUUCUUAAUUUAUUACUCUUUUAGAAGUUCCCUGUGUCCAAAUUUUCUUUUGUGAAUAGUCUUAAAGUUGUUUUUUUCUUAUAUAUACGACUUUUUAUACUCUGUCUCAUUUUAUGUAAUGUAGUUUGACUUGACAAGAAAUUUAAGAAAGAAAGAAUUACUUUGAAAAUUUAUGGUCUAAAAUAAGUGAUAGAUGUUUGUGUGGUUAUAAAUUACUUUAUUAAGGGUAAAAUAAAUUUUUUAAAGUUAAAUUAUUACUAUUAAAUAUAGAAAUGUGUCAAAAAAAUUUGGACCGAUUAAAAAAGAAAAGUGAAUGUAUAAAUUGGAACAAAGUGAGUAUUAUAUUGCUACUUACAUAUAAGAGACAAUUGCAUUUAUGUUUGGAAAGUUGUUAUGUAUUGUUUCAUAAUUUAUCGUAUUGUGUUGUGUUGUAUUGUAUUGUAUUGCAUUAUUCUAAUGAAUAUAAUGUUUGGAUAAGAGAAAAGACAUAAAGUCAUCACUAAAGUUGGUCUCAAAUUUUCAAAAAGACAUCUUAACUUUGCGAGCGUCCUUUUACCCCUUAAAACUAUUGAAUAUCUUUGUAAAAUGAUCAUUUUGACCCAUUUUCUCACUAUGUUUGUGAACACUCAAACAACAACGCGUGAAGGUCUAUUUUAACUGCCAAAAAAUAAUUAAAAAAUGCCACAUUUCAACUGUUUUCUUUAUUAAUUAAUCAGAUAAUUAAAUACUUCAUCUUCCCCAAAUUUGCUGUUGGAGAUUUUUUUUUCAAACAAGUACUUUUAGGAAUCAACAAUGGUGACAUCAACCUCGAUACAAGGUUCAAUGGUGAUUAGGGUGAUUUGCUUGACAACAUUUGGGGAGCUAAAAAGAUCAAUCCGUGCUCGUGAACCUACAGCUCAAACUUGUCCCAUGUAUUUGUGCCUUCUCCACAACAAGACUUCCUAGGGAUAAUGUUAGCACCACAAACCAAAUCCAUACACAUUUUCUAAGAUUCUUAACGUUUUUGGUAGAAAGAGUGAUCAUAAUCAAUCUUCUCUCGAGCCCCUCUAGCCCUGGUUUUGUCAGCUUCAUUGUUGCAUACGCCAUACUUUGAUUUGAUGAAGAAGAUGAAGACCUAACCGCAAUUUCGAUUUUCUUUAAGGAGGGUGGGAGCAAAUUUCAAUGGAAAAGAAGAGAAAAUUUGAAAAAUAAAAAAGAAAAGAAAUGGAAGUGUUUUUGUUAAGAUUCGGAUCGGAUUGUCCUUGCUUUUAUUAAUAUUUAAAUUUAAUUAAAAUGGUCAAAAAGGUGAGCAUCACACGCCUCUUCAUAGAUGAGGAAAUGAGUCAAAAUGGUCUAUUUACAAGGGUAUUUAAUACUUUUAUGGGGUAAUAGGAUGCAUGCAAAGUUAAUGUGUCUUUUUGAAAAUUCGGGACAACUUCAAUGGUGACUUUAUGUCUUUCCUCUUUGGAUAAAUUAAAUUGUUCUCUGUUAUUGCAUAAUGUCAUAAAUCAACAAUUUGAAUGAUAAAUUCAUAAGAAAAGUAGAUCAGAGUACAUAGUAGAGCUACUAUGAAAAGAUAGACUAAAAGAUAAAUCUGACUAUUAAAUAAUAAGUAAAGACAAAAUGAGAAGAAAAUAUUAAGGUAAUGACAUGAUUACACCAAAUGAGACUUUUCAUCGUUACCUAAUAAUGAACUUAAACGACAUGCAAUAAACUUUAGGGAGAAGGUCAAAAAUACCCUUGAAUUUCCACUUAAUUGUUAGAUUUACCCUUCAUUGUACUAUGUGGCUAUUUAUACCCCUACCGUUUGCAAACUUGUCACCCGUACCUCUAUUUGGAUAGAAACCCCCCAAAUUAUCUCGAAUUUCUCAAAAACGAUCCCUUUUCAAGUUGAAACCCAUAUCCAACCCUCUAUCUUAAACUAAAUAAAUUUAAUCCAUUUUCCGUAACUAUUUCCAAAAGAUUAAGCUUUUAGUUGAUUAACAAGACUAGUUGAAAUUGUACCAUGGAAUGAGUUAUUGCUGAGAUCAAGUGUUUGAAGAAGAGGGCAUUCAGAUGCUUAGUUAAAUUUGAUACAUUUACAUAGGAGUGUACAUGACCGGGUUGGUUCAGGUUUUUCAAUUAUCAAACAAAACCAUUUGUGUCGAAUUUUUAAAUCUAUAAACCAAACCAAACCAAUAAAACUCGGGUUUUUUCAGGUUUUUUUCGGAUUUUUCCGGUAAAGUAUUCAUACAAAACAUAUAAUUUACUUGUACUUCAAAUAUUUCUUUAGUCCUACCAAAAUACAACUAUCUAAGGUGUUUCUUAAGAAAAUAACACAAAAUAUGAUAUGAGUAAUGACACUAAAAUAUCCAAACAAAAAAAUAAUAAUAAUGAAAUCGCAUAAAACAAUAUUGCAAAUUAACAAGUCAUAAUGAAAUGAUCAUAAUUUAAAAGUACUAAAUUACGCUAAAAUAAGUUUAAUAAGUAUUAGUUACAUAACUAAAUAUUAAAGAAAAUUGAAAUUAGAUUAUGUAUUUGAAUUGUCUAAACCAAUGUAAAAAUCAAAGAACAAAUAUUCAAUAUUAUUGUCAUUCUUAGUGUUGAAUUGAUUUUCUUUUUGCAUUAGUAUUAAUUUGAUUUUGAUUUAAGCUUUAUUAUAAUUAUCAACAUUUUGUGGACUAUAAUCUUUAUUGAACCAUUCAGAAUUCUAAGUUUCAAACUUGAAAUAAUAUAUUAAAAGAUAAAACUAUGAAAAAGUAUAAGAAAUAUUUAAAAAUUAUAUCAAAGUAAAUAUUUUUAUGUAUAAAAUAAAUUUUAAAAUUAUAUAUAUAAUGUCGGGUUAGUUUGGUCUCGGAUUGAUUUUUUUUAGUUAAAACCAAACCAACCCAAAUAUAAUCAGAUUUUUUUUUCAAUACCAAACCAAGGCAAACCAACCACUAGUCGAGUUUUUUUUUCAAUUUGACUCAAAUUGCGAUUUGGUUCGAUUUUGUACACCCCUACUUUUACAGCAUCUAGAAGACAUUUGGAUUUAGGAGGAAAGAAAAUGGCUCAAAGGUCCAUCAAUGUAGACCAAAUUCUUUGGAAGUUCUCAAUUGGCAAUUGAAGUCACUUGGAAGUUCUUUUGAAAUAGGUAUGAGAAAUGAGUUAAAUUUGUUUGGGUUAAGAUAGAAAAGGGUCGCGUACGAAUUUCAAUUUGAGAAUGGAUCAUUUUUAAGAAAUUCGGAUUAAUUUGGACUAAUUUGAAGGUUUCUGUUCAAGUAGGAGUACAAGUGACAAGUUUGUAGACGGCGAUUGGGGUAUGAAUAACCACUUAAAGGGUAAACCUAAAUAUUAAACAAUAGUUGAGGAGUAAAAAAAUAAAAUAAAAACUUAGUUAGAUUAUGAGUCAGCACAUUUCAUUUACGAGGAGUCUAAUCUCUAAACAAAGUUGAUAUUUUCAAAGGAACUCACCAAUCUUUAUAUAUUAUCGCAUUUUUAUUUUUGUCAUGAAUAUUUGUACCACAUUUUUUUUUAUGUGAUAGCAUAUGAAUCUUUGAUAAUUUGACCAACCAUUCUCUAGUGCUUUCUAAUGCCUAUUAAAUUGCAAGUGCUUAAGCGAUUAUGACUAUUUUCUUCAUAUGAGUUCAAGUAGACAUGCAAGGUGAAACUAACGAAGCUAGCAACGCAUCAUAAUAUAUUCAUGAAAAUCAAGUAAAGUCUAAUUAACAAUAUUGUAUUACCGGUAAAGCAAAGAAAAUAGUUUUUCACUUUUAUCAUAAGAUAAAAACAUUUAAUCUCAAUAGCUUAACAAACUUAAGGUAUCGGCAUGUAUUGUGAAACACAUCAUGUUGUCAUCUUGAAAAAUUAAAAGUGUUCUCUAAAUCAUGCAAGUUGAUAUGUCACAAUUUUUACAGUAAGAUUUCGAACACUCAAAAAAAUAUGUGGUCAAUUAUUACUAUUUUAAAACCAAACACCUUGCAAGCAUCAUAAAUAUAAAUCAAUCUAUUAGAAGUGUUUGCAUUAAUUAGUAAGACAUUAAGAAUGCGUUUCCUAAGAAAAUAUUUAUACUAUAUUUGUAUUUUAUUUUCAGUGACCAUAAAAAGUCUUAGAAUUUUUUUUUAAAAAGAGUAAAAACUAGCUCGAGGUUUAUUAGCAGUCACAUCACUAUAAUGAGAAAAAUCUUGGUUAGAUAGUAACUAAAUCUAAUCUUUUACUCACCUAAUUUUGUAUAAUAUUACAUAGUUUUAUCCGAAGUUUAUGUAAUAGAUAAUGAAAUAAAUAAAAUAGAAUGAAUAUCAUUAAGACAAAAAUAAGUAUACAAGUCCUGAAUAUAUAAUUUUGUUGAUUAAUAAGAACAUUAGCAUCGCCCUUAAUUGUAAAUUGAUAGUCAUUUGUGUUUAAUUUGAAGGGGUUUAUAGCCAUUUGAAUUAAGAAUUCAUGGAUAAGUCCAAACUUUAAUGUUGUUUCCAUCUUUAACUCUCCACCUUAUUCCUUCUUUCAUUAAAAAUAUCUUACCUAAAUAAUACCUUUUCAAAUUCAAGAUCUCAAAGAGGGAUAUCCCACAUUAAAAAAAAAGUACUAAAAAAAUAUCUAUUUUUUAGCAUUUCAUGAGGUAAUUUUCCUUCAAGCAAGUUUAGUUAUUAAGGCAUUGAUAAAAAGUUUUAGUUCUCUAGAUCAAGACCUUUCUUAGAUUUUAUCUCACAAAAAUUCUAUCAAUUUUUAUAAUGUAUUUUUCCCCUUCAUUUAUCUCAAUUAAAAUUUAAAAAAUUAAAAGUAGACUAAUCUCCUUACAUAAGCUAUCUGAAAAUUUAAAAACAUGACAAAACACACGAAAAAAUAGUAGAAAAUAUAGACUUAAACAUUUCUUCUUUACUCAUUAUAUUUAGGGGCUCGUUUAACCAUGUUAUAUGAAAUUAUGAUUUUUGGAGAAUUUGAGACAUGAGAUGAAAUCAACUUGAAAUCACAUGUCCAAACAUUGAUUUAAUCUCGCGAUAUGAAAUCACAUGUCCAAGUACCUUCUUCAAAAUGAAUUUAUCCAUCUCUUUGUUUUAGUCUUUUUAACUCUUUCUUUUAUAUUUCUCCAAAAUAACUUGAUACUGAGCUUUUCCAUGUUUUCUCUAUCCAUUUCUUCAUUGAACGCUUAUCUGGACGGGAAAGUAGAGCCUCUUUGUUGAAAUGAAGUCUGUUUAUUCUACGUUAUUUAUUGUGAGCUUAACCAUACCAUUGAAAGUAGUUGGCAAGUUAUUGAAAGUUGUUUCAUACUUCAACUGGGAAAUCUUAUUUCUUUAUCGUUUGUUGUUGCUGCCACAUUAAUCUUUCUUCUCUGCAUUUGCGCCAAGUAUAUAUUGGCCAUUAGAAUAUUUUGAGACCUGGUUGGCUUAUAAAACUGAUGGUACGAGUUUGCAAAAAAACACUAGGUGAUUCUUUCAUCUGUAUAUCAUACAUAGCCCUAGUGUACAGAGACCAAAUACUUGUUGUUGGUAGGAGGUGAUAGAUAUCCUGUGGAAUUAGUCAAAAUGCGCGAAAGCAAAUAUUUUGCUGACUUUGGUGACCAUAAUCAAAUAAUGGACAGAUAAGAAUGUGAAGAUGAACAAUCUGUCAAUGAGUUUUGACCAAUACCAGACCCUACUUUUUCUUUUAAAUAUGUUACCCUUUUUGUGUGUAUUUUUUUUUCUUCUUUUAAAUCUCCAUUCAUUUGGCUUUGGAGUCAAAUUAAAUGGUGAACAGAAAAUGACCCCUCUUACCAAAUCUCCACUAACCAGUGCCCACACCAAUAAGAAAAUACAGUGGAUUAAAGUAAAUUACUAUUUGUAUUCAAUGUGUCUGUAUGUCAUGUAAAGUCAGGACCAAUAGAAAAAUUUGGGUAAUGACACAUUACGAUGGGGACUACUAAAUUAAUUGAUGCUUAAAUAAAUACAUGAAAGAGUUGAAGACUCACUGGUUUAAAUGUACAGUUUCUGGAAAAGUAAAAAAAGAAAAAUUAACUCCUUCAUGUACUUGUAAAGAUAUUACCUCAAUGAUGAUUGAAAACAUUAUAGGGGCAACUAAUGAACUAAUUGAAUUUAGCACAAGGAAAAAUAUAGUUGAUGUAUAUCAGUGUAUAUCUUAUGAGCAGAAAUGGGCCUGAGAAGCCCCCAAAUUUCCAGUUUUUUUUAAUGUUUUGUUGUAAUUGGGUCAAAAGCCCAUUUAUUUUUAGUAUCAUAUGCUAGUUUUAGGAUAGGUGAAAUUGGGCCUAAAGCCUAAAAGAAAUUCAGUUUUAUGCUAGUCAUUAGGACAUGUACAGGUGGGCUCUAAUGGGCCAAAAGUCCAAAGUGAAAUUAGACCCAAGUACCGAUCCAGACGGACAUAAAUCAGACUUGGGCCUACAUCUUCUCUAUUUGUUAUUUAAUUGACAUUGCAUGCUAGUGUGUUUACUUAAUUUCAAGGUUUUUCCCUAAAUCAAUUCCCCAAAAAAUUACCAUUUUUUUGAUUACUUAUAUUUUUCUAAUUUCUUUUGGAUAAGUGUUCAUUUUCUUACUUAAAUUACUUUGAGAUUUUAUUUAAUAAAAUCCUCAUAUUUCCUCUUCCCCCCUAAGAAAAUAGUUUUAAGUCUUAUGUUGUUCAUUUCUUCAAUUUUGCUCAAGUACGCUUAUUUUCUUAAAAUAAUUAACCAAAUAUUUUAAUUAUUGGUUAACCGCGUGUUAGAGGGUAUUUCGGGUGCUUUCAAACCCUUCCUGAAAUGUUAAUGUGAACCCCGAACCCCCUUUUAAUAUUUUCAUUAGAUUUCUAUUUUAAUCUUUUGGAAAAAUAGUCUCAAAACCUGUCAUUUUGUAAUGACUUGUUCCCGUCGUUAUAGAAAAGCCAAUGGGGAAAGAAUCGGGGCCAGAAAACUUUUGAGUAGUAACUUGGAAUUUCCCAACCUAGUCCAGAUUUGGACGAAAUCAGAGUCGUUAAGGUGUAGGGAAAUCUGGUAACAAUCGGGUGACUUAUUUAUGAUUUUGAUUACAUAAGUGGCUAGAUAAGUCGUUAAGGAAUCUGUACGACUUUACAGAAUUGAAUUCGGGUGAGUAGAACUCCCGAAAUCGAUCUUAGCGUGAACGGUAUUUUCUGAGCGACAUUGGUUAAAGGUGUGUUGUGAAAUGGGGGUCUUGGAAUUAUUAAAAUAGCUCGUUGGUUCCGUGCAAGCCGCUGGGGCGGGAUUUCUGCCGCUAGGGAGAGGCCGCUGUAGCGGAGUGAGGACCGCUGUGGUGGGUCCGACGUGAUUUAAGGUUGUAAAUAAACCCCAAAACAUCUUUAUUCUGCACUUUUCAAUUUUUAGAGCUAAGGAACGAACCCCAGGCGAUUCUUGACAGUUUUCCACCAUUUUGUAGGCUAAAGGUAAGAUUUUAACUCCCCGAAUCCAUUUUUUGAUCCGUAAAACGUAAUCUAAAGAGUAAUUAUCGAUGGGGGAGGGUUUUGAUCUAGAAUCUAUGGUGGAAACAACUCUAAAUUGGGUAUUAGGAUCUUGGGUUUGGUCUAGGGUUAUUGUGUUUGUUAUAAUCUGGAUAAUUAGACCUUUGAUUGUUGAUCCUUGCAUAUAUUAAUUGUUUGUAGACCUUAGAACAAGUCGAAAGAAUCCGGAAAGGAAAGAUUCAAGUGCCUUAGGGGAUUCAAGCUUGGAUUCGAGGUAGGUGAUGGUUGUGAUUUCAUGUUGGUGUGAAUAUAUGUUUGUAAUUGCUUAUUAUAAUACAUGUAUAUAUGCGAAUGUUGCAUUAUUAAUCACCCUAAUCAUAAAUGAGGAUAAUUGAAUAAUUGUAUGCCAUGAAUCACCUCUUGUUGUAUGAUUGUGAGAAUAUACAUUGUGAUUGUAGUUUGUUGAUUGGAUUGGUUACCACAUUCCGGCAUAAGCAUCAGAUCGGUUGCCAUGUUCAGGCAUAAACAUGGGAUCGGUUGCCACGUUCCAGCAUAAACAUUAGAUCGGUUGCCACAUUCUGGCAUAAACAUUGGAUCGGGUACCACGUUCCGGUAUGCUAACAGUUUGGGUGUGGGUUCCAUGAGAGGACCAUUGAAUUGUGUUGUGUAUCUACUUGUGAUGAUUACGUUCAUAUCUAAUGAUGAUUGAUAUUGGAAGACUGUAUGUUGCUCUAAAUUGAUAACUAAUGUGUAUUAUUGAGAACAUGGGAUGCUACAUUGAUCCUGAAAAGAUGACUAAUAUUGUAUAUGUUCGGUUAUAUGCGUAUUUAUAAUGUUGUGGUUACUUGCAUGUGUUUCACUUAUUGGGAUAGCCGUGUGACCCUACCAGUACACUGUGGUUGUGUACUGAUAUUGCACUUUCUUGUUCUUUGUUGAGUACAGGGCAUCUUCAGGCGGCUAUUGAUAGACCUCAGCUAAGUGACUAUUGAUCGUGAUCGAAUUCAAGGGUGAGUCAUUUCUUUUAGGCUGUCAUGGAUCUCUCUUGUUUAAGUCCAUUCUUUCGGACUAAAACUAUUUUUUUAAUGUGUUUGUUUAGUUUCGGGGUUGUACCCUUUGUUCUUAGACUUGUCGUUAGUAGAGUUUUGGUACAAUGACUUUCAGGUUCUAAGGGUUGUUCUUCCGCAUUAGUUUGGUUAGUUGUUUGUUAAAACCUUGGAGUUUAUGAGGACUCCAUUUUUAUAGUCAUUUAAACCUGUUUCCAUAUCUUUAAAUACCUUAUUUUUCAUAAAAUUUGUUUGUUUGGGUUGCAAUAAUGGUUCUCCCACCAAAAGGUUUGUGUGGGUGUCAAUCACAACGGUCUGGGUCGUGACAAAGUUGGUAUUAGAGCCCUAGAUUCGUUGAUCUCAUUGUACUAAAAUAAGUCUAGUAGAGUCUUGCGGAACAGUACGAAGACGUCCGUUCUUUUCUUCGAGAGGCUAUAAGACUUUAGGAAAAACUCACUUCUUUCUACUCCUUCGUGUUAUGACUUGAAUCCAAUUAGUAUCUGGGUGAUACAAAUUGGUAUCUUUCCUCCUUCACCCUAUGGUCCGAACUAGAUCAACAAAAGUGGUAACACCAUCACUAGCAAGAGAGGAUGUGUAUAGACUAUCGAAAAUUGAAUAGGGUCACCAUUCAGAACAAGUAUCAAUUGCCUCAGAUAGAUAGAUGACCUUUUUGACCAAUUGCAAGGAGCAUCGAUUUUCUCUAAGAUUGAUUUAAGGUUUGCUUACCAUCAGUUAAAGAUUGAGGCAGUUAAGAAUUGGGUUCGACUAAGUUCUAUGAUUGAAAUUAGCAGUUUAUGGGGGAUCGCUAGCUACUAUUGUCUCUUAUGGUAUGAGUUGAGUCCAAUUGGUAUCUCUCAAUUUCAAUUGGUAUCUCAACGAAGUGAACUAGACGUCGUAGUCCCGGCUGAUGGGACACAAGCAAGUUAAUUGGAACUGAGAAGGUUCCAAUUGGUAUCUGGCCUUAGAGGCCGUAUAAGGCAUAGAUGAUUAGUAACAGUUGUCUAUGAAACGAACUAAUUAAAGAAUUUGAACUUAUCUGCAAGUUGUAACUGCUUGAGUGUCAUGAAAGUUGUUGCGAAAAGAAAGUCAUCACAAGAUUAGGUGCAAUAGUCUAGAUUAAAUUACAAUGUGGUUCAUAAGCGAGAAAUCUAGACGUGCAUUGCGACCAGCUGGUAAUCGUGUGAGAGUCUGGGUGUAUCCUGGGGAUAUGUGUGUGGUAGUGUUACAACGAUGUAAAGGAAUUCUAAAGUGCGUACUUCGUUGGGUUGACCGGGGGUAGACAAUGAUUGUCCUAGUUAAAGGGAUUUUUCUUAAAUGCCUAGUUAUAAUCGGGAAAUCUAGGGGAAAUGUAGAAAUGAGAGGAACCACAAAAAUUGUUAGCAGAGGUUAUGUUUCUGUCACGGCCGCUGGGCGGGAUUUUCCCCGCCACGAUGAUACCAUCAGUGCGGGAUUUCUCCCUCUAGAGUUGGACAGGGCGAGACAAAAUCUCAGUCUGUCUCCCCUGUUUUCCCCAAGUCACAAUUAUGGACCUCGAAUGGUACCUGAACUAACCCACGCGAUCUAAUUUAGUGUUUAGUAAUCGAUUAUAAGUUAUAAGUUGUGUUAAAAUUGUGGAGAACCUGGGCAUAUGAGGAGGAAAUCAAAGAGGUCGUGGAGGCCGGGAAAAUGGUAAUGCAGGUAAAGGAGUAGUGCAGCCAGGCAAAGAGGUUACCCGUCAAGAUAACAGGGCUCAAUUUUAUAUUUUUCCGGGUAAGAUCGAGUUUGAGGGUGUGAUGUAGUAGUCACAAGAGCUACUCUUGUCUGUGCCCGGAUGGCUAUUGUUUUGUUUGAUCCGAGUUCUACUUAUCGUAUGUGUCAGUUCAAUUGUCUUGGAAUUUGAUGUGGUUGUGAUAUACUUGAUGCCCCCAUCCAUGUUGCUACCCCAGUUGAAGAGUCAGUCAUAGUCACCCAUGUAUAUCGUGUUGUCCUGUUGUGUUUAUGGAUUUCAUAUUUGAGUUGAUUUGGCUAUGUUGGAUAUGACUGACUUAAUAUAAUCUUAGGAAUGACUUGGUUGUCCCCUUAUUAUACCAGACUUAAUUGUAAUACUAAGUCGGUAACUUUAGAGGUCCCGGUAUGGAAAUACUAGAGUGGGAAAGAGUGUACAAGCCUAAGCUAGCUAAGAUCAUAUCCUCCAUUCGGGCUAGGAAACUGGUAGGGCAGGGUUGUUUGGCUUAUUUGGCUCAUGGUUGGGAUGUUGAGGUUGAGUCUGUUCCUUGGUGUCUGGCUUUAAGGAAGUGUUUCCUACGGAUUUGCCUGGUUUGCCUCCGGAUAGAGAUAUAGAUUUCUGCAUUGACUUGGAAACUGACACUUUCCCCAUUUCUAUCCCUCCGUAUCAUAUGGCUCCAGCAGAAUUAAGAGAGCUUAAGGCUCAAAUCCAAGAGCUUCUUGAUAACGGGUUCAUCCGUCCUAAUGUUUCCAAGUGGGGUGCUCCUAUCUUGUUUGUUAAGAAAAAGGAGGGUAGUAUGAGGACUAAUGAUUUUAUCUUAAUCUAUAAGGGAGUGGAUUAAUACCAGAAUGAUAAGCUUAAGGAUAAAGAAAGUGCCAUUGAGUAUACUUGGGUGAAGGAAAUUGAAGAUUUUAGUAAGAAAGUGUGUACCAAGAUUGGGUUAGUCCUUUAAAUUUGAAGAGUAUACAUGAGUUUUAGGUGUCAUGUUGAUGAAAAUGUUGACUUCACAGUGAUAAUCAGGGCUGAAUGAGCGUAAUGGUAAUAAGAGUUCGCGGUUGCCACGUUCCGGCAUAAACAUGAGAUCGGUUUCCAUGUUUCGACAUAAACAUGGGAUUGGUUGCCACAUUCCGGCAUAAACAUUGAAUCAGGUACUACGUUCCGGUAUGCUAACAGUUUGGGUGUGGAUUUCAUGAGAUGGCCAUUGAAUUGGGUUCUGUGAGAAUUGUGUUAUGUAUCUACUUGUGAUUAUUACGUUCAUAUCUAAUGAUGAUUGAUAUUGGAAAAUUGUAUGUUACUCUAAAUUGUUAACCAAUGUGUAUUAUUGAGAACGUGAGAUGCUACAUUGAUCUUGAAAAGAUGACUACUAUUGUAUAUGUUCGGUAUAUGCCUAUUUUAUAAUGCUUUGGUUACUUGCAUGUGUUUCACUUAUUGGGAUAGCUGUGCGAUCCUACCAGUACACUGUGGUUGUGUACUGAUACUGCAAUUGCUUGUUCUUUAUUGAGUACUGGGCAUCUUCUGGCGGUUAUUGAUAGACCUCAACCAAGUGACUAUUAAUCGUGACCGGAUUCAAGGCUGAGUCAGUUCUUUUAGACUGCCAUGAAUCUCUCUUGUUUAAGUCCAUUCUUUUCGGAUUCAGACUAUUUGUUUAAGGUGUUUGUUUAGUUUCGGGGUUGUACCCCUUGUUCUUAGACUUGUCGUUAGUAGAGUUUUUGCUACAAUGACUUUCAGGUUCUAGGGGUUGUUCUUUUGCAUUAGUUUGGUUAGUUGUUUGUUAAAACCUUAGAGUUUAUGGGAACUCUAUUUUUAUAGUCAUUUAAAACUGAUUUCGUAUUUUUAAAUGUCUUGGUUUUCAUAAAAUUUGUUUUUUGGGUUGUAGUAACGAUUCUCUCACCGAAGGGUUUGUGUGGGUGCUAAUCACGAUGAUCUGGGUCGUGAAACGUUUUCUCUUUUUUACUAUAAAACAGAAUGACGACUCUGAUGGGGAAAGAAGUUGAGGAAGAAGACAAGAAUCGCUCUAUACGCAUCCAAGGCGUGAACCUGUAGUUUUCCGUCUACUUCCAUCUCGAUGCCGUGAAUUCUGUCGUUUGAGUAGACGCGUAGCUUUCUUUGAACUCUGAUGUCGUGUGUUGCCGUUUGGAAUGUGAACGUUGUAGGAAUAACGUUAGAAGCUACUGGGUUUUUUUUUAGAAGAGAAAAAGGUUGGGACGGGUUGGGUCACUUAGCGUGGGCCGCUGAAGUAUUCUGCUGGAGUGGGUUCUUUUGCAUUGAAAUGUUGGGAUGAGAAUGUUUUAGUGGGCUGAAAGAAUUGGGAAUGGGUCCAAGACCAAGGUGUUUUGAUGGGUUUAAAUUAAAGUAGUUGAAUGUAUUAAUGAUCUAACCAAAUCGAAUUACAAUUGGCCUAUCAAGGUUACAAUCUUAGCCAAGUUGAAUUUAGAAGAGAUUGAGUUUAAUUAGCAAAUUUGACUAAAACUUAAAUAAGACGAAUUAAUGUUAAUCAAUUAAUGAGCUUCUUAAUAUUAACGAAAUAAAAUAAUUAACUUAAUUAUAAACUAAUUGAUAAGAAGUUAUACCCCAACUUUAAACUAAACUAAUUUUAGUAGAAUAUUUUAAAUAAAAUCUUUUUGAGAUGAUUUUUAAAUAUUUAUAAAAUAUACUAGUUACAUACAUAAAACUAUAUGAAAUAUAUUUAUUAUUUAUAAAUUAUGAAAAUCACUUAAAAUAACUUUGAAAAGUAUUUAAAAUUUUAUAAAGCUAAUUAUUCUAAAUCGUUUAAAAAUUAAAAAGCUCAAAAAUUAAUUAUUAUCGGGAAGGGUCAAAAUUGGGUGUCAAUGUCACUCUCCGAGCCUACACCCUGGACGUGGGUGUCACUCGAAGACCAUUGCUGGCCUCAAGCGAACCCUUGGCCUAGCUUACUUAACUCAGUGAAAGACAAUAUUCAUACUUAUAAUGAUCAAUAACACUUAACUGAACUAAAUAAUAAAAUAACUGAGAAUGUUUAAAGGUUAAACAUUCAACUUGGCCAAAAGUGGCAACCCAAGUCUUAACAAUAAGAAAUGAUAACGAAAAGACUCAAAGGACUAACAUAUGACUGUCUAUGAAGUCUCUAAAACAACUGAGAUGGAUGUUGGGACAACCCCACAACAUCCUAAUGAACUAACUAGAAAGCAAUGAAAAUAGAUCCUCCGGAAUGCAAUGAGGCUCACUGACUGACUCUGAAUUGCUCACUAGAUCAACAGUGCGCUGGAAUGCAGAUCCUAGUUACAUGUGUCUACAUCAUAAGACGAUGCAGGCCAACUGGCAUCAGUCUAUUGAAUGUACGAGUAUGCGAGUUGGAAUGCUAAAACAACAUAAGCUUGAAAGGGAAAUCUGAAAGAAACACUUACCUAACUCUUCUCAACUCAUGAAUACUUAACUGAACUCAUUUCAAUAUAAAGCAGUUUAAAACUAGUGCAAUAUAAAGAAAAGUUGUUUAAAAACAUUAUGUCAACUCUGUGUAUAUACAGGGAUACAACAUAACUCUGAAAUGUAUGUAAAAAUACAAUAAACUGAUGUAUAUAAAAAUACAAUAACUUUUGUGGGAGUUUCUCUAACCGACAACCAUCACAUAAGAACUAUAGUGAUGAUACAGCGAUCUACCUCACGUUGCCAGUGUAUCCUAUACCCGGCCAGAAGUAUAGGACCUGAACUACUAAGUGGAUCCAUUAGUCUAUUGUGAAAAGGGUUCAUCUAAAAAGUAUGGCCCUUUUCUACCCAUGGUGGCUACAUGGUUUUAUGGAGACGUGAGUUAUCUAAACUCAUACUCGCCCCCAAUUCGAUGCUCAAUACUACUCCUAAAAUAUGAUACUAGCUCUUUAUGUUUAAAAACAUACUUCUUCUGUGAUUUGAGAUUAGUGCUCAAAGGCUAUCUUGAAAAAUUCAGUUUCCUUUCUUAUUUAAAUGUGAAAACAUUUACUCUUUGGGAAUACAUAGUCCCGAUAUACUCUUUUGAAGAAAAUGCACUUCAAACUUGACUCUUUACUUAACUUGAACUUUAAGUCUUAAAACAAAGUUAAAACGUUUGUGAAAGACUUUUGAAAACUUUAUAAACUUUGCUUUGACUUGUUUCUUAACUUCUAGACUUGACUCUUAACUUCUCUUGAUGUUGAUCCUAACUUUUCUUGAAUUGGAUUAUGGAUUCAAGGUUCAUGAUCUCAUGUUUAUGGCUGAUUUCAUGAUGUUUAGAUAUACCUUAGAGUGUUGGAAUCAACUAGAAAACAUAGGUACAUUGUUAAGGAAUAAGUAUGAAAAGAUGGGGGAAGAAUGGGAAGAACUGGCGUCCCUGGUGCUCUGAGAGGCGCAGGGCGCUAGCCCUCAACAUUCAGAGAACAAGUUGGAGCACUAUGGCUGGCGCGUCGUGGAAUCAACUAGAAAACAUAGGUACAUUGUUAAGGAAUAAGUAUGAAAAGAUGGGGGAAGAAUGGGAAGAACUGGCGUCCCUGGUGCUCUGAGAGGCGCAGGGCGCUAGCCCUCAACAUUCAGAGAACAAGUUGGAGCACUAUGGCUGGCGCGUCGCCCCAGAGCCCCACAUUUAGGGACUGCUUUGGGGCGCGCUGGCUCGCGUGACGCCCCACUCCCUUCCCCAAGUGUUUGAAGACUUUUCUUCUUCGUUUUUCAAUUCUAAACCCUCUAAACUUCAAUGGUUCUUUCCCCAAACACUUAGAAUCAUNNNNNNNNNNNNNNNNNNNNNNNNNNNNNNNNNNNNNNNNNNNNNNNNNNNNNNNNNNNNNNNNNNNNNNNNNNNNNNNNNNNNNNNNNNNNNNNNNNNNNNNNNNNNNNNNNNNNNNNNNNNNNNNNNNNNNNNNNNNNNNNNNNNNNNNNNNNNNNNNNNNNNNNNNNNNNNNNNNNNNNNNNNNNNNNNNNNNNNNNNNNNNNNNNNNNNNNNNNNNNNNNNNNNNNNNNNNNNNNNNNNNNNNNNNNNNNNNNNNNNNNNNNNNNNNNNNNNNNNNNNNNNNNNNNNNNNNNNNNNNNNNNNNNNNNNNNNNNNNNNNNNNNNNNNNNNNNNNNNNNNNNNNNNNNNNNNNNNNNNNNNNNNNNNNNNNNNNNNNNNNNNNNNNNNNNNNNNNNNNNNNNNNNNNNNNNNNNNNNNNNNNNNNNNNNNNNNNNNNNNNNNNNNNNNNNNNNNNNNNNNNNNNNNNNNNNNNNNNNNNNNNNNNNNNNNNNNNNNNNNNNNNNNNNNNNNNNNNNNNNNNNNNNNNNNNNNNNNNNNNNNNNNNNNNNNNNNNNNNNNNNNNNNNNNNNNNNNNCAAACUCGGAGGCGUUGGAAAGAUCAUUCCAAGAGCUUUCCAACCAUAUCUGGAAGUACACCUAAAUCAUCUUCAUCUAGGAGUUAUGUCCGUUUGAAGUUGACCAAAACUCAACUUUUCCUAACUUAAAACAAAUUUCCAGAUUUUCAUUCUUUCCAAAUAUGACUAUUUCCAAUUAUUAGCUUCUUCCUAGUUAUUUCAAUUUGUGAGAUGUUUCAGUCAACAAGUACCAUAUAUAUAGAGGUAUUUUUGGCUAUUACCAAACGUAGCUACUAUUUCAUUAAAAAUGAUGUAUGAUACAAUGUUUGAUUAAGGAGAAAAUUGCGCAAAAAUCUAACAAUAAAAUCCAAUAAAUAUAGGAGAAAAUCUUGCAUCCCCAUUAAUUAGGUGCAUUUGUAUCUUUAUUACAAAAAUAAAAAACACAUAAUUUGAGUUCUUUCGUCUUCUCUUUUUCUUCGACUACGAUUUUUCAAAACUCUAAUAGCAACAAAAAAGUUCAAAAUAAUCAAAAUUUCCAUUCAAAGAUACAAUAUCAAUGCAUCUAAAUAAAGAAUAUAUGUAUCUAAAGUAUGUGAUGUAUCACUAUAUCUUAAAUAGUGUGUAUCUAUGUUUAUAGCUUUUUACUUUUUUUCUAAAAAUUAAGUAUUUUUCUAGCUUUACAUAUGUUCAACUGAUAGACAUGGUAAGAAAAUCAUGUGCAAUAAUGUAGGUAGAGAAGAAGAGAAAAUUAAGGAGAGUACUGAAAAAUAUAAUUGUCUGAUACGUAUACUUGGAUAAUUUUAGGCAUAAAAUAAGAUAGUCAAUGUCAUGUUUCAACUGUAGGAAUCUAUUACGAAAUUAAUAAUAUUGCUAUAUUGGAUAUAUAAUAAUUUAAAAUUUAUCAAUAAAAAGGGUAAUAAUGGGGCAUAAGUUUGUGUCUUCAAUGCAAUAUGAAAUUUAGAAAAAGAAAAAAAAAAGGAAAGUGUGACUUGUUGGUUUAUUUGGUGAAAAUUUUAAAUUAAUUUAUUUUGUAAAGUGUUUCGAAAAAGUACUUUUGCUGAUUUUUUUUAUGUUUGAUUAAUAAAUUUUAAAAACACUUUGGAGCAGUAAAUUAUUGUUUAAUCAAAGUUUUUAAAAGUUAUGCAUCCAAAUCGGUCAAUAAUUUUAUAAUUUGAUAAAUCGAACCAAGUCAAUUUACUAAUGAAAUGUCCUAAUACGAUACAAAAGUGUGUUUUAGCUAAUAAUUCAAUCAAAUAAAUAAUUAGUGAAAGAAGGUUAUCAAAUUUUUUAAUUGCACUAUUAAUUAUAAAAAAAUAAAUUAACAUUUGACUACAUACCAUUCAAUGAUUUAGACGCACAUUUGAAAGAUAGCACAUAAAGUCACGAAAAUGUUUGAAUAAUUAAUUUAUAUGAAUUUUUAUUGGAGAAAGCACGUAGAAAGUGACACUGCUAAAAAUUAAUCAGUAAACUUUUCAUUUGUUCAUUAAAAAAACAUCCUUUUUGAAACAAAAUUGAUUUUUCUUCAUACCUGACAUAAUGCAUGAAAUGAUCCUUGAAUAAUUAUAGCGUAAUAUGAAAAUUCUUAGUAAAGACUUCUACAAAACGUUAUAUUUUUUCAUAAAAAUAUAUUCUUUCAAAAAGGGCUUCAAAAGAUGUUGACUAUAAUUAAGAAGAUUAGGUUUGUAGAAAAGAAAUGUAUUCACACUCAUAUGCGAAUUAUAUGAAAAUAAGAAGAUUUUCUUUUUGAAAAAUAAUAAUCAGACUUCUUUGAAGUAACAAGGCUAUUCAAAUUACAAUAUUCAUGGAGAAAGAAUCGUAAUAAAUGUACAGAAGCGAUAUAUUUAAUCCAAUAACGAAAUUCUGAAACAAAAUUUCCAAAUGGAUGGGUAUAGUAUUAAAUAUCAAAUACAAUUUAGAUGUAAAAUAUUAUCUUCUAAAAAUAAAUGUUGAAUGAAUUGAUUUUAAAUUAUGAGAUUUAAAAUUAUUUUUGUCUUUGAAAGAAGAUAUUAAUCAAAGAGUGAUUUUUUUUCCAUACAAAUGUGAAUCCCUCAAAUAUUAUUUGAGAAUACAAACUCUUGUUGCGCCCCAAAAAUGAUUUUUUGUUAGGUACAUUAGUAGAAAUAAGAAAAUGAUUCACAAUUAGAAAACUAAAUAUAUUGUCAUAACCUGAAUUAUUCAACAUGAUCGACCUAUUUAUAUUUAAACGAUCAUAAGCAAGUGCAUAGAUAUACUCUUGAAAAAUAAGUGUAGAUAGAAAGAUGUGUUGUUGUGAGCUAUGUGGGUGUAAAUAUCUCUAAAUUUCUUCCAUUUAAAAUUCGAUUUGAACUAAAGAUGAAAGAUUUUGAGGGCGAUACUUAUUACGAUAUAGUUAAAGCAAAGUAUUAUAGUAAGAAUAGACACCUUUAAUAUAGGUAAUCUUUUAAUAGAUUCUCUAUCCUUUUUUUUUCUUUUCAUGUCAUUUAAUUGGUCUAUGUUAUAGUGUUAUAAGAUAAUAAAAUGGUUAUAGUUCAUUUAUUCUCUAACCUAAUCGCUCUUUUGACUUCAAAAAGACAUUUUUUAUCAAUAUAUUGUUUCUUCUACAAACUGUUAUCUCCUGUAUUCAGAUUACAUCUUCAUGAUAAAAAAAUGAUGAUAGUUAAGGUUCAUUAAAAAAUUUGAGAAUUCGCUCAUGAAAAAAGAAACCCUUCCCGCAUUAGGAUUUGAUAAAUUUUUAACGUCUAAUUAGAUUGAGAAUUAUUCAAAUUAAGAACAAAGCUCGUUGCUUUUUCUUUCCCUGUAAAUUAAUUAAAGACGCAGUUCUAUCCAUUUUUUCAGUCGACCCAAUUUUAUUUUGUUCUAUUCCAAGAAUCUAAAACAAUUUUAUAUCUCCGACACACAAAUAAGUAUGCGGUGGAAAGAAAGCAAUCCUAAACUCUGUCCAACCUAUCAUUCCGCUGGCAUUUCACAUUUUUUAUUCUUAUUUAACUGUCACUCGAAAAUAUUGUUAUACGUAGAUGAGUCUUAAUGAGUAGUAUUUAUGUAGAACAUGUAACCAAAUAUUUAGUUUAAAAUUGACUAAUUUCUAAUUUUUCCUUGGAUUUUUUUCAAAAAUGCUUUUAAAAAAAAAUCAACUUUGAAAAAAUAAUUUAUACUACUCUUCAGAAAUACAUAUUAUUUUUUAAAAAAAAAAUAAUAACUAAACACCUCACAUUCUUAAAAUAAGCCUUUUUAAUAUUUGAAAAACGUGACUAAAGGAUUUUAAAGCUUUAUACUAAAAAGAAAAGCAUGACUAAAAAUAAUUCAUAUUUGAAGCCCUCGCAUCUUUCCCAAUAGGCAUAAUACAUAAAGAGGACAUUUAACUUGGCAUCAAUUCACAACUAUGACCUUAAACUUUGCCAGUGCACAAGUAGGCACUUCAACUAUCCAAAAAUUUAACAAUUAAACACUCUAAUCCUACAUGGCAAAGUGCAUGAAACACACUUCAAUUAGGCACGUCAGUGAUAAAAAUAAAGGCCCCCAACGGUAAUAAAAUGCUUAAAUAACACUUCUACCCUUAACUUUUGCCAUUUUCCUUUACUCACUUUACUCUCUUCUUUCUAAUUUCUUCAACAACUUUUGCCAUUUUCCUCUCUUUCUUCACAAUUUUCUGCUCAAUGAAAUGACAUCAAUUUUUUUGUCAUUGUGGAAAAAGAGCUUUAAUGAAGAUUUCUUGGUCCGUAAACAACCCAGGUCGCUGGUUUCUUGGAUGUGAAGAUAGUCGGGUAAGGUUUCAUUUUAGAUGACCUUUUUUUUGUUUAAAUUCUAGCAUUCAAGAUACAAUUUUAUGAUUAUUUUGUUGCUUCUUAAACAGGCUGGAUGCAAGUUUUUCAAGUGGUGCGAAAUUGAUUAUAACGAACAAGCUAGAACUGUUAUUUCGGGAUUACAAAAAAGGAUAAGACAACAUAAUGUAUAAAAGAAAAAAAAUAGGAGAAAAUAUCGAGUUUUGUUGAUCGUUGUGAUCCUAUCUUGGAUUUAUAGAGAGUUUUUUAUGUAGUGAUUGUUACGUAUGUUGAUUUUGGGUACUUUGGUUGGUUGCAGGAGUCAUUUUGGGACAUAAUGUAGUUUUCUUUGGUUUGAUAACGGCCUACUGUAAAGAAGUUUUUAAGUAAAUGGUAAUGAAAGAUUGUAAAUUAGUUGCUGAAUAAUUGUAUGUUAGUUUUGCAAACGUAUCUUGAUACUCCAAAAUAUUUGUAGACGUAACUUCUGCUGCUAAUUGACAAAUUUUGGAUGUAAUUGGAGAAGAACAAACACUUACGAAAACAAAAGAACUAUAUUGGCACAGGAACAUGUAAUAAAGGUGCUAUUAUAUUCUUCAAAAGCUAGUAUAAUUGGCAAAACAAUUGGCUCUUGAAGAUGUUUAUGUGGAGCACAAAAGCAACAACAAUGUACAAUUGGCAAAACUCAUGUUUCUUGCUUCAAUGCUACUGUAAGCUACAUAUAAUAGAGCAACUUGUAUGCCUUUUGUUUUAACAACAGAAAUUAAAAGGAAAAUCUUAUAAUAUAAUAGCAGCUUCACACAUAUCUCAUCGAUCAGUAAAAUAGCUCGCAUCCACAUACUACAUCAAUAAAAUAGCUCAUACCCAUAUGAAGCUAUAUCUAAUAAAACAACUCAAACUCACAUGUACUAAACAUCAAUAAGAUUUUCCAUAACAAACACCAAAAAGCUUUACAAAAUAUCAACUUAACCUCCAUAUGCUUCAUAGCCAUAAUAACCUUAAAAAAGUAGUCUAAAGGCAAAUAUACAUCAAAAUAUCCAAAAGUACAUCAAAAUGAUCAAAAGUGGAAUAAUUUAAAGGCAAAUCACUGUUUUACGUGAAUUAUGCCUUCAGAAAAUAUAUAUAUCAAAAUAAGCAAAAAUAGAGUUGUCCAAAGUGUAACCAUAUCACUAGGAUAAUUGAACUCUCAUGGUACCCAUUUAGAUUUGAUUUGAAAUUUUUUCCGUUGUUGCAUUUGUUGAAGUUGAUUUCCCGUCAUAGCUUAUUUUCCUUUCCAUUUCAAACCAGGUGGCUUGAAUCCAAGAUCUACAUUUGUUUGUGAUGCAUCCUUUAAUGUUGUCCCACUUGAGAUAACUCUUUCACUUGAUCUCCCGGGCUAUAUAAAUCAUAUACAUAAGGUUACCUAUACAUUACUCUUUAUAUAUAAAUUAAGAUGAAAAAAAAUCAAGUUAAGAACACACAUACAUUAAUGACUUAUCUUCCAGAUUGUAUAUCUGUGUAAAUACCAAAUCCAACAUCUCUUGUACUCUUCCUUCCAAAUGAAGAAGAUGCCCUUGUAGAAGAACUAUUUGUUUGCUUUUUUCUUCCUUCAACUCUUGAAGUUUCUGGAGAUAAAAAGUGGAAUGUCGAGUGCUAGACUGACUCACCGAUGGUUGUGAGGGCUGUUGACGAGGAUGUUGAAAAGGCUACUGAUAGGGCUGUUGAAAAGGCUGUUGACGAGGCUGUUGAGAGGGCUAUACAAUAAGAAAAAGAUUUAGAAGUCUAAAAAUGAUUACAUAGAAAAGAAAUAUCAAAUACAGUACUUACCACUGAUUUACAGGUCUUUUUAUUAUGCCCAACUUGAUGGCAUUUGGAACAUGUCAUUUUUACUCCAUUUUUUUAUGCUUUCCCCCACUUUUUUUUUCUUGGUUCAUCUUUAUCUUUUCUUCUACAUUUGUCUGGUCUUCCAAGCAUUAGCUUGACUUCAGGGGGCUCUAUUUGCGGGUUAUUGGUUUCCGGCCACAUUUUCAUAUUAGAGAUAGACUGUAAGAAGUACUUAUAAGCACGUAGGAAUGUAUCUUUUCGGUACCAAUGAUCUACAUAAUUUUCUGGUUCUUGUCCAAUGUGAUACAAGGUACAAACUAGAUGUUGGCAAGAGAUACAUUUCAACUGCCAUAACCUGCAACUACAUGUUUUAUUAGGCAUAUUGACUAUGUGCCUAUAUUCUCCUUCCAGAAUCUCAAAUCCGGUGUCAUGGUUCCAAUUCACCUUUAGCUUCCUACCAAUCUCUUUGUUUAUUUCUAAAGUUAGUCUUGCCAUGGGUGAAAUGUCACUGAUCCAAGUAUCGACAAACUUGAUCAUAUCUCCAUGUCUAUCCAUCAUUUUAUGUCUAAUAUCUUCAAGCAUACUAAUCACAGAUUUAUGCCUAGGACCAACAAUUCAAGAAUUGAAUGUUUCACACAUAUUAUUUUCCACCACAUCACACUUGGUUCUUUCACUAAAAAAGGCCCUACACCAAUAUUCUUUGUUAUACUUAAGCAAUGACUCACAAAUGUUGUUACCAAGUUGUCCCAAAUAUGCAAAUUGAUCACUCAACUUUACUUCAAAACUAGCUUUGGAACACCUCCAAAAUGCUUUUCUCCUUGCUUCACCUCUCCAAGUCUUUUACCAAUUUGCCCAAAUGUGCCUUGCACACAUUCUCCUUCCAACAUUAGGAAGCAACCCAUCAACAACUGAAUCAAGACCCUAGAAAAUAAAAUAAAUAGAUGAAGUUCAGCAUUAAACACCAAAGUAAUAAGGAUAUAAAAGCAGCACCUUCAAGUUCAAACUUAAAAGAAAAUACACAUAUGCCUCAACUUUCAAAGUAAAUAGACAUAAUAAAGGAUGUUACGUCAUAAAGCUUAAGUCCAAUUUUAAUAAGAAAUAAGGCAGAAAAUUUAAAAAGCCACCAGAAAUUAGCUUCAUUUUCAAAUGAUAAAAAAAAUUAAAAGAAGAAGAAGUUAACAACACUAAGUUUCUUGAAUUUUAGAUAGUGUUCUUGAGGUGUUUAUAGUUUGUUUGUUAAUAGCACUAGUGUCUUGCUGGCUAUGCCAUAUUCUCAUGUUAGAGUAGAUAUUGGUCCUCCUUCACUUGCUACAAGAUCAAGCCUUGUCUUGACAUAUUAAAAUCAUGCUUAAGAAUAGAAUUCUGAUUUCUUUCUUAUGGUGCAAUCUAUACAUCUUAAUUGUCUAGUUGUGUUAUUGUUGGCAGACAAAUUCAAUGGAUUCUUUGUUCCCACUUACUUGCCUUAGGAGACUCUGGAUAUCAGAGGAUAGAUUAAAAUGAGCUUCAUACAUUACUAAUGGGAUAGAAAUAUGAACGAAUACAAAUAAUUUUAACAUAGUGGAUAUAUUGAUGCCAGGAAGUUGCAGGCUUUCUAUGUUCAGAAACACAUUUUCCUAGUAGUUUAAAAUGUGGUAUGUUCAUUCCCUGUUUCUAUACUACAAUAUCACACAUGUCUCAUUUUUCUAUACUACAAUAUCACAUAUGCCUCGACUGAUUCAAAAUUAUAAAUUGUAAAUAAAAGAUAAAACAAGUAUAGAGAAGAAGAAGGCAGCAAUAACUUAUAUAAACAAGUAUAAACAGUUUAAAACAAUACCUUUUGCAUGUCAGACAUGAUUGUUAUGCCAUUUCUGUCACCAAGUUGCAAAUCUUGAAUGAGAUAGCUCAAGAACCAACUACAAGAGUGUUUAGUUUCUUGGUCAACCACUGCCCAAGCUAUUGGAUACAUUUGUUGGUUUCCAUUUUUUCCAACAGCCACUAAUAAUUCUCCUUUACAAGCACCCUUCAAAAAACAUCCAUCCAAUCCUAUAAUCUUCCUACAACCUUCAAGCCAUCCAUUCUUCAAUGCCCCAAAGCAAACAUACAAAUAUUUGAACAGGUAUUUUUCGGGGACUGUUUCAUUAUCAGUUCUCACCCAACAAGAAGUCCCAGAAUUCGUACUCUUAAUCGUAUCAGCAUAGUCUAACAACUUUGAAAACUCAAGCUUCCAAUCACCCAAGAACUUGUUGAUAACAUUCAUCUUUGCCCUAUAACAUAUUGAUCUUCCCACUUUUAAACCCCACUUCUUUCUUAUUGUCUCUUGAAGCUUAUAAACUCUAAUAUCAUGUUGGGAUAUUAUUCUUUCCCUCAUCUUUCUUUCCACAUAUUUGGUUGAGCAUAAUCUGUUCAUGUUCUUUGUAGGACAUUUGUGAACAAGAUAAUUUUUCACUGUAUCUUUAUCCAAGCUAGCAAAGAUUUCCCAAUUACAUUUUCCUACACAUCUUACCCUUAUUCUAUGAGGUUCAUUGGGUUUAAUUUUUAAUUGAACCUUCUGUCGAACACCAUAAUCAGCGAUAGCUUUUCUAAACUCAACUGCACUCUCAAAUAUCAUACCCAAUUCAAAGAAAGAAAUGGAACAAGAAUUAUCAUACCUCAAUUUUUUGCUUUUUCUUCUGGAAGGUAAAUCAACACCUGGUUGUGCUAAAACAUCUAGCUCUUCAUCGUUAUCUUCACUUGGUUCAUCUGAUGAACCAAUGAACUCUUCAUUACCUCCCAAUCUACCAAUAUACUUGGCUGCCUUAUUCUUGAAAAUAUCCUCAAAUCCGUUAUCUAUGCCAGCUUCUCCAAGCUCAACCUCUUGAUUCUUGGUAGAUUUUUAAUUCUCUCUUUUGACUUUGCAGCUUCAUUCCUCUUUUCUUGUCUCAGAUUUUCUCUAAAGGCUCUCAAUUCUUCAUCAACUUCACUGUCAUCCUCAUCGGAACCCCAUCUAAAUCUUCCUCUUCAAAGUCAAGAGAGUCACUAUUUUCUUCCUCAUUAUCAUCACCAGCUCUCUCGUUUAAGGUCCCGUUUAUACCAUCCUCAGGAUAUGAAGCUCUAGAGGAAUUCUAUUAAUUCUUGAAUAUUUUUUUCACCAGAAAAUGUUCCCAAGACAGUGCUAGUAGUGGGCCCCCCUUCUUCAACAGUCACAUGCUUCAUAUACAAAUUAAAAUAGGACCCACUCCACAAUUGUAUAGUUGGUUGUCACUUUCUAACUUCACAAAUCUAUGGGUAGUAGGGUCUUCAACAUAAAAAGCUUCAAUUUCAUCAUACCCAAGAUCUUUGCAUAAGAUUUCAUUUCGGUCAACGAAAAGUGGUCUUUGUCUAUGCUAAAUAUAAUAUUGUCCAAUUUCGAAACAGACCUUUAUAAAAGCUACCUCCAUGGUGAAAAACAGCGAUAAUGUGAUCCAUAUGUUCAAUACUGUGAAGAAAAGAGCAAAUUUACAGUUGUGGUAAAAAAAUCAUAAUUUUUAUAUAAAAUUAUCAAAAGGGGAAAUUAAACAUACCUUAACUAAAUUGACGAAGAAUAAUAGAUAGAUAUCCAAGUACGUGAAAUUUCAGCACAAUUCUUGAACAAUUUUACCUUUGAUUCAAAGGAUGAAAUGUAGGAACUUAGGGUUAGGAUUUUGUAGAGAAGAAAGAGGAAAACAUUGUCUCUGUUCUAAGCAUAGGGUCAGAGUUGUUAAUUGAUAUUUAUUUUGUUUUUAUUUUCGGUAUUUAAUUGAAAAAUCCACGUGUAUUUAUUUUAAUUAGUUGGCAGCCACGUAGAAGCAUUUGUAUAUCACGCACUUUGCCUGAAAUAUACGAGUGUUUAAUUGUUUAAAUUUGUAAUAGUUAAAGUGCCUACUUGUGCACUGACAAAGUUUAGGAUCAUAGUUGUGAAUUGAUACCAAGUUAAAGAUCCUCUUUAUGUAUCAUGCCUUCCCAAUAAGCUGUUAAAUACUUUUGCACAAAAAUAUUUGAAAAAAGAAUUUGCUUGUAAUAUUAUUUUCCCUCCUAGCCAUCUAAAGAAUAAACUUACAGAGAUGCUUGAGACCUAAUACAAAUUAUAAUAAAAUUUGUGAUUAAUUAUUUUAUAGGAGAUAUAGUAUGUAAUGAGCAUUUUCACACUGAGAUUAAGAGUAAUUAAAGGCUCUAAAGUCCUUAUAUUAAGUAAUUUCUACAUAAUAAUCCAUAAUUUAUUGUUAUUAUUAUUUAUUAUAUAAACCCUCGAACUUAACACAAAUUAAUAGUUUCUUCGAGCUAUUGACAAUCUUAAAAUAAUACUCAUCUACUUGACUAAUCAAAUUAAAUACACUCCCGAUCUGUCACAUGACUUAACAAGUGGUUUCAAACUAUUGUAGUAGCAUGAAACUCUUAAUAAAAUAUCCUAAACUUGACGAUAAAUUAGGGAUUUAUUUCACUCAUGUUAAAAAAUUGAGGGUGUAUGUAAAUUCAGUUAGUCAAGUAAAAAAGUGUUUUUAAAUUUAUCAAUACUUAAAGAAUGAAACUAAUAAUUCAUGCAUAAUUUAUGAGUGUUUUCAAUACUCCCUUCCAAAUAAUUCACGAAAAUUCUGCCCGUUAUGUACAGAUCUUCAAUACGUGUCUAGAUACAAUUGUUAUAUUUUCUCAGAUUGCAGGAGCUUACCAACUUUUCACUUACAGACAAUUAUUUUGUAUCAAGGCAACAAAAUCUGAACAUUACAAAUUAUUUAGUCACAACUUUAAUGCUUUCAUGUAUAUAUAUUACACUAGAUAAUGUUGCCCGUGCUAUGCACGGGCCCAAUAAUAUAAAUGGUAUGUUUUGGAGCUAAUAAUCGAGUUUUUGAAGCGAUUGUUUGCGUGGAUAAAAGAAUAUGUUUUUUUAUCACAAACCUGUACUUUCUUUGACGUUAUUUAAGGCAUAAUAAGACUACCCACAUACAAUAUUUUUGAAAUAUUUUAUGUUGUCAAUUAUCAUGAUUUAUAGUAUUUUUACGAUAGAUUCACUUCAAGAAUCAGUGGAAUUUUUUGUAUAUUUUUGAAAACAUAUUUUAUGUUGUCAAUUAUUAUGAUUUAUAGUAUUUUUACGGAAUUUUUAAAUAUAAAAAAAAUAAGACAAAUAAAUUAAAAUAGACCUAAUAUAUGUUCUUUUUGUUGUCUCAAUUUAUGUGACACAAAUGAAAUUUGGAGAGUCAUCCCAAUUUUCAUAUUUAAAAAACNNNNNNNNNNNNNNNNNNNNNNNNNNNNNNNNNNNNNNNNNNNNNNNNNNNNNNNNNNNNNNNNNNNNAAGUUAUUAAUUAUUGUGAUUUAUAAUAUUUUUAUGUAACUUUCAAAUAACCUAUAUUACUGGUCACUUUGUCCUAAUUUAUGUGAUAUGGAUAAAAUUACAAAAUUAACCUUUUUAAAAUGUCUUUCAGAUAUUUUAAGUUGUUAAUUAUUAUUAUUUAUAAUACUUUUUUGAUAAUUUUAAAAUGAUAUGUGUUGUUUUUUCUGUCCCAAUAUAUGUGAGCCUGAUAGAAUUCUGAGAGUCAACGUAUUUUAUUAUAUAGCUUUUAAAUAUUUUAAAUUGGUAAUUAUUGUAAUUUUUAAUGCUUUUUAAGUCAUUUGUAAAUGAUAUAUGUUGCUUCCUUGAUUGAGACUUUUCCAUUUGUGACAUAUAUAUAUAUAUAUUUGGUGCCCGUGCCAGCACAUCCCCAAUAAAUAUAUUUUUUUGUUUUAAUUUAUGUGAUAUAAAUGGAAUUUGAAGAUUAGUCGAUUUUUUAUAUGUUUUCUUAAAAAUAUAUUUGAAGUUAUUAAAUUGUUGUGAUUUAUAGUUUCUUUGCGUUAGUUUUGAAUAAUAUAGGUUACUCAUGUUUCAAUUCACGUGAAUAUCAUUAAAUAUUUUUCAGUUGUUAAUUUAUUGUGAAUUCUAGAAAUUUUUGACGUUAUUUUCAAAUAGUACAUGUUACUUAUUCUAUUCCAAUUUAGUCAACCAAAUUUCUUAUGAUAAGAUUUCAAGAGUUAACGCAAUAAAAAUUUAAAUUUUUAAAAAGUUGUACCUCUAAUAUAUUUUGUAGCUAAAAUAUACUCUCUGUCCACUUGUAUUUGUUAUGUUGCGGUUUUUGAAAGUCAAUUUGACUAAUUUUUAAAGUUAGAUCAGAUUGUAUUAAUUCGAUAUUUUAAACAAAAAAAUAAAAUAUGCAAAAUCUAUACAAAAAGCACUAUAAAUUUUAAUUGUUUGCCUAUGAAUAUGAUGAAAAAACACAUUGUAAAAUAUUAGUUAAAAUUCUUAUAGUUUGACUCUAAAAAGGAAAUCAUAACAAUUAAAAGUGCAUAGAGAGAGUAAUAAAUAGGUAAUUAAAUUUCAAGAAGUUUAAAAUAAAAGGUUGAAAAAAAGAAUUAGAUAGACAACAUUUAUUGAAAAUUGAAAACAUAUAAAUAAUAAAUGGACCCAAAUGAGGUCAAACUUUUCGGCUAAUAAAGUAGUAGGUAAUUAAUGGUGUUAAAUUAUCCAAUAAUAUAAAUUUUAAUGGUACAACCAUAAAAGAAGAAUGUACAACAUUAUCUAAGUAUAUAUCAUCCAACACUUGUUAUGUGCUAAGUUGUAGAUAUUCCCACUUAUUAUAUAUAGUAAUAUAUACAAAGGGGAGCUUCACCAAAUUAAACAUUUUUACCAAUACACCUCGUAUUUUUUCCUUUGAUCGUCUCUACUUGUAUUCAGGUUAAUUUCGAUUUUAAGUUUAAUUUCGAUUUGUUUGUGAAUGUUUAUUAUUCAUGGUAGAGAAUUUGAUGUUUUUUUUUUUAGUAAAUGUUGUGUGAAUUCUGGAAUUUACGCUUGUUCAUGUUUGCCUUUUUCAUUUUUGUUCAAAUGCUAAUUAUCGAUUUGAUCGGAGAAGCUUUGGUUAUUUAGAUUUUAAAAAAAAAAACCCUUUUCUGGUAAAGAAGGGGGAUUGAAUUGGUUUUGCUUUUUUUGGCCUGAUUUGAUGAUGGAAUGGUGGUCCAGAAUCAAGAUAUAAAGAAUCUAAUUUUAGAUUCAGACACAGAUCUUGCCAAGGUAUUUUGGCCUUGUAAUAGAACAUGAUAUGUCUUCUGUUUGAAUUUUGUAGUUAUUUAAAUGGAAGUCUGUAAUGACUGUUUAACCUACAUUGGUGGUAUAGCUUUUUUGAACAUUUCCAAAUGAACAAUUUCAACUAAAUCUUUUCAUUUCUUAUUUUACCAAUUACUUGUUAUUUGGGCAUCAUUUUCUUGUCUACCUCCCAAGGUAAGGGUAAGGUCUGUGUACACUCUGCCCUCCCUAGAAUUGUGGGAUUACGUUGGAUAUAUUGUUUUUGUUGUGUAUCUCUAGUUUUGCUUUUGCGUUUAAGUUAGUUAAUAAUAAACUGUAGUUUUGAGUCUCUUUUUCGUAUCUUGUGAUUUUCAGAGCUCUGCGACAUAUCACUGAAAAAAUAUAUUUGGGAUGCAGAAAGAUGGGGUGAAACAACAGCUCUUGCCUCUUAGAAGCCUCUGAGUUUCCAUCUGCAUUGGGGUUAUUCUGUUUUCUACAUGAUGAUUUCAAAUUUGCAGCUCAUAGAGCAUUUAGGUUCUCGUGCCAGAUGUACAAUGAAGUAACAGUGAUUAAGAAUGUUGUUGUGCUGAAGCACGGCCUUGUUGCAGACGGUUGAACACUGAAACAAGGUUUCGUGCCUGUAAAUAGAGAAUUAUCAUAUCAGCAGGAGUGUUAUUUAUAGAAUUAUAGUAUAAAGUAGGAUUGUUUGUUGAAAAUGGAGAAGAAAGGAAAUGUAUUGAUGAAAAAAUAUGAAUUGGGGAGAUUAUUAGGUCAAGGCAACUUUGGUAAGGUUUAUUAUGGAAGGGAUCUGAAAAGCGGACAGACUGUAGCCAUUAAAGUAAUUGAUAAAGAGAAGGUUCAGAAAGCUGGACUAACUGAACAGACGAAAAGAGAGAUAUCUGUUAUGGCAAUGGUCAAACAUCCACAUGUUGUGCAGCUAUACGAGGUCAUGGCAACUAAGAGUAAGAUUUACUUUGUGAUCGAACAUGCCAAAGGUGGCGAGCUUUUCAACAAACUGACAAAGGGGAGGCUCAAGGAAGAUGUUGCUAGAAAGUUGUUUCAGCAACUGAUCAACGCAGUUGAAUUUUGCCACAGCCGAGAUGUUUAUCACCGUGAUCUCAAACCAGAAAAUCUCCUACUGGAUGAGAAUGGAAACCUAAAGGUCUCAGACUUUGGUUUGAGUGCAUUAGCUGAGUCUAAGCGGCAAGAUGGGUUACUCCACACAACCUGUGGUACACCAGCAUAUGUUGCUCCUGAGGUGAUUAGUAGAAAAGGAUAUGAAGGUGUCAAAGCUGACAUCUGGUCUUGUGGGGUGAUUUUAUUUGUCUUGUUGGCUGGUUAUCUUCCAUUUUAUGACUCAAAUCUUAUGAAUCUGUAUAGGAAGAUAUGCAGGGCAGAGUACAAAUGCCCUCAUUGGUUCCCUCUAGAAGUGCGUAAACUUCUCUCUAGGAUCCUCGACCCAAACCCUCAUAAAAGGAUUUCAAUAGCCAAAAUUAAUGAAAGCUCCUGGUUUAAGAAAGGAUUGGGAUCUAGACAUGUUGGAACUAAACAAGUAGUGAACCAAAAUGUUAUUGCAGAUGGUGAUGCUGUUUCCAGUUCAAAUUUGGAGAAUAGUACCUCUUCCUCCGACACCAAGUUAGAGUUGAUAAAACCUGCAAUCAUUAGUGCAUUUAAUAUCAUCUGCGGGUUUAAUUUGUCUGGUUUAUUCAUAAACAAUGAUCAUAAGGAGGAGCUGCGAUUCACAUCUGUGAAGCCUGCCCCAGUCAUCAUAUCCAAGCUUGUGGAAGUUGGUAGGAGUCUGAACCUUGAAAUGAAGAAGAAAGAGGGUGGAUUUCUUAGAUUAGAGGGAUUAAAUGAGAGCAGAUAUGAAACUCUGUGCAUUGGCUUGCAAAUAUUUGAAAUUUCUGAAUCCCAUUACUUCAUUGAGCUGAGUAGGUCAAGUGGUGAUGCGAUUGAUUACCAAAACAUGUUGACGCAAACUAUCAGACCAGCUCUUGAGGAAAUUGUUCUGGCUUGGCAAGGUGUGCAAUCUCAUCAAUAGUAAUUAUAGAAUCACUAAAAUGAAGCUUCUGAUAUCCAGAUGCUCGGCUGAUCAUACUUUGUAUUAGUAUUUAAACUAAUUCUGUUUGUUUGGUGCGCUAGUACUAUUUACUGCACCUAUCUAUGAAAGCAUAUUACUGCAAACUUGGAUUAUUUUCCCAGAGUUGUUUCCGUUCUCUUAUUUUAUUGCUUCAGUUAUAAUUUCUGCCUUAUGCGAGAAAUGCUGCAAUAGUACUAGUUUUCAUGCUUGCAUGAGUUAAAUGGCGGAAGUUGUCUUGUAUUUCUAUUUGGAAAUUUGUUCUCAAGAACAGACAGAAUCAGUGGAACAGCAACAGGGUAUGUCGAUUCUACUAUCAUAGUGUAGUUUAUGAUUUAGUGGUGGGAGCUCUUUGAAUUCUCAUAGAAAUGACCUCGACUUGUUGGUUAUGUUGUUUGAGAAAAAUAGAGAAAACCUAAAUAAUGUUGUAUGUUUGUGUGUGAAUCCGUUUUUACUGUGCAUUCAAUUUGCUUACCUCUCUUGAAUAAGUUGUCAAUCUCAAUCCACCUUGUUUUGGGCCUGACUAUUUAGGUGAAAAAUUCAAUAAAACAAAGUGUGCCCGCUUUAACUGUUGGAGUUUUUACUCUACAUAUAUACAAGUGCGAAGUUCAUAAAUGAUAUUUCUGUAUCUCUUCAAUCAAAUAAAGACAGAUUUUAAAUGGAAGUGUAUGUUGGGAUAUUACACUUAUUUCAAAUUCAAUAUAGUGUGUUUGUUUUAUCAUAUAAACUUGUGAUGAUCAUAUUGUAUAGGUAGAAAAUAAGCCUGCUGUAUGGCACUAGAGUUGAAGAAUAAGGAACAAAAUCAUUUAUGGGUUCUCUUAAAGCAUACGAUGAAAUUAUUAACAAGCACCCUAAGAAACCAAGUGAACAAUCCAUUUUCAUUUUCUUUUUGAGGUUGCCAUGAAUAUUUAAAUAGAGAAAAUUUCAGAAAUAGCGAUAGUCUAGGUCUAAUUAUUUGAUGUUUCUAGUCUCCAAUAAUUUGAAGCCUAAUUAUGAUGGAUUUUAAUGUCCGUUUCUGCAAUAUAUAGCGAGAUUUUGUUAUUUCAAAACAUGACAACAUUUUCCUUUUUAAAACAUAGGAAAAUGUAUUGCAUCUGCAUGCAUGAAAUAACUAAUCCUAAUUGAAAUAGCGUGAACAUAAUAUCUGAAAUCUUAAUUGUAUGUAUAUGUAUAUAUGUUUUCAAAGUGCAGAUGUUGGAUGUUUGUGCAUGUAUGUGAAGACAUCAAUUGUAUAUGUGGCCAACUGAACCAAUAUAUAUGUUUUCAAAUUGUAUGUAUAGGCCAAUUGCAUGAGAAAGAUAUGCAAAGUGUGUGUUUUAAUUAUGUCAUACGUGAAGUCAUCACACUGCUUUACACGCAUUUCUAGUUCUGAUAGGGUGUUUGUUUGUGUUUAUUGGGUUUUGUAGGCAAUUGGUGCUGAAUACGGAGAAGGUUUCGAGACAUUUAGACCCAAUGGACUGCUCAAAGUUGAUGUGGUAAAACCAGAAGUUCAGAUUUUGUAACAGGGUUUUUGAAUCUUUGUGCCUUUUGGUGCUACAAGGCAACAUAUCUGUACUCAAGGAGUUCCUUUUUUGGCAUUUAGGAUUUUUUAAAUGAUAGACUGCAAGAGGGUUUCCUGCGAAGAAUCCGUUAUGCAAUGAAGCCUGAUGAAGCUUAUGGCCUCAUUUUCUCUUGGGAUAAUGUGGUGGUAAGACCUGAAUCUUUGACCAUCUGGUCUAAUUUAGGAGAGGUUACCUGAUUCGUGAACUGUUACUUUAUUUGUGAUCAACUGUAUAAGUGACGUGGUCUCUGAAGCCUGGCUGGCAAUUGAUUAUGUCCAUAUAAAAGGAAUUGAUCUUCUAUUGUUGGUUUGCCCUAUGUUUGUGCUUCUUAUUCGUGUCUAAAAUUGCAUGCUUAUAAGGAAUUCUUGAAGGGUGCUGGUUUUGUUACAUUCAGGCCCAAUGUCUGAAUCUUUGAUGACCUUGCCUUACAAACUCAAAGUCUUUGUUUGUGCAUCUUUAUUCCUGCUCUCCAAUUUGGUUCUUAUAUGGGAGACCUUUUUAAAAAAAUUAGGUGUGAAAGACAGAUUAAAGAACUUCUCUCUCUCUCUCUCUCUUCCUAUGUGUGUCUCUCUCACUAUGUGUGUGUGUGUGCAUAUAUAUGUCAAGGAACUUUCCUCUAAUACAUUUAUGAAUUGGAAUAAACUGCAAUAGAAGUACAAGAUCCCCAAAUUAUGGUGUUUCGCCACUCACCCUAGGAAUUGAUGCUUUAAGAUAACAACAACACCACCAAUGUCCAGUUCCAAACAAGUUGAUGCUUCAUGAUAUGACUCCUAAAGAGGAGAGGUGGCUUGUUUUGUAUUAGACAAAGUAUUGGGUGCAUGGACUGGAACUCAGGCAAAAGGCAACAAAAACUUGGGUUCAUGUUAAGAAAGAAGAAUUUGAUAGAAGAGAAAAGUGGGAGUGGGAGAUAAGAUAAUGUUUGGAUUAGAAAUGUUGCUGAAGAUAAUUGUAGACCAAAGAUGUGGUAGAUAUUGAUGUUCCAAUAGUGAAGCUCGAAGCAAUUGUGUUGCUGAGUUCUUUCUUCUACUUGAGUGGAAGUCAUAACACUCAAUUAUUUGUUGACAAUGUACUUCCACAUCAUACUUCUCAGGCAGAUUCUCGAGCUCUGAAGUUGGAUGCCUGGAAUCAAUUGCCUCUGAAGAAGGUGAGUGACUUGCCGAUUUUUCUGGCUGAGUAAUUAAACUUCUUCACUUGGGUUGCAUGCAAAUAUCAAUAUUAUUUCAGCUGUAUAGAAUAAGCCAAUCCGAGUGGGAUUGAAAUUACCUGUGUUGCUCGGACUCUUCUAAAAUGUCGAUGGGUGCAUGUUGUCGGAUCCUCCAAAAGUAGUGCCUUUUUGGUGGAUCCGACAAAGGUGUGACAAAAUUUUCAGAAUCAUACAUUUGUUUCUUAUUGGUUGUACAGUAAAUAUUUGCUCUUCAUUUAUAAAAUGAAACAUCCUCGAGUGGGGAAUGAGUUUUAAAUUUCUAAAGUUUUGUCGGGCCCCUAAAAGAAAAGAAGAAAAUGGGGAAUGUGAUAGGAUUUAGCUGUCUACUGCCAAUACAUAUAUACAUCUGGAGUGCCAGUGACAUGUGGUAACUGUAAUUUUUUUCAACUUGUAGUGAAAUUCAUAAAUAUAAAGGUCAGAUUCUUUCUGGCUCUAUCAAAUCCAAAUUCACAUAUAUCAGAGAUCAGGGUGAUGUUGACAUUUACUAAUGGGUUUAUCUCCCAUGAUGGGCUGAAUGGAAUCCUUGAUAUUAGGGUAAGGGAAGGGAUCAGGGGAUAAAGAGUGAUUAAUGAGUCUGGAUAGUGUCCUCUUCCUUAAUUUUUGUCCAAGUCUGGGGCCUGUAAUCUUUUCUACUCUUUUGUUAAAUAAAUAAUUGUUAAAUUCUCUUGAGAUAUUUGCCUCUAUACACUAUAUGCAUAUGAGUCGGUGUGCAUGUCUUUUUGAUUGGAGAAAUAGUGGACUAUCAGGUUUGAAUUUGCUUUUAGGACUUUUUUGGGAGGUAAAAUACACAUUUCUCUAUAGAAAAUCACUGAGAUAAAAAUAGUAUUGAUCGUUAACUAGUUUUGUAGAAAUCCUUUCUUAUAUAAUCAAUGUCUUAUUAAAAUGUCUAUUUUUGAGAAAUCCUAUGCAAUUAUAGGCGCUGCCAAAGGAGAAGAAUGAAGCUGAUCAGGAUCGAUUGAAGAUGAGGCUUUCCCAACUCUAUCAUGACAAGCUUCUCAAAGUAAUGCAUUUAUGCAGAGUGGAUGCUGUGUUUUUCAAUGAACUCAAAAACAUCACUAUAACUCUCCUCUUUUUAGAUUUCAGAGCCAAUUGAAGGGUUGAAAGAAUGGCUGGAUGCUGUAUCAACUGCUCGUAUCCCUUGCGCUGUUGUGUCAAGUUUUGAUCGCAGAAAUAUGGUUGAAACCUUAGAGCGCAUGGGACUCAUGAAGUACUUCCAGGUAGUUAAUUACAUUCUCUUAGAGAUAAUAUCUACAAUCUGGUCGGCUAUUACCAUGUGCAUGUUGUUGACCAUCAUGCUGUUGAUGCAGGCAAUUGUGACAGAGGAGGACGGAAUGGAGUCUAUAGCACAUAGAUUUCUUUCUGCAGCUGUAAAGGUAAGGCUGAAGUGUAUUUUGAGUGUUGGACUGGUGCAUUUCUAACACGUUAAGAAUACUAAAGCCAUAUUAAACAUACUGUUAGGAUUCUUUGGGGAUGGGGGCUGCUUUUAGCACAUUUUAUUUCUUACUUGCAUAUGAGGGAGAAUAAUAUCUAGAAGUGUGGUGUGUGAACUAAAAAUUCUUAAUUUUCUCUUUUAAUAAGGUGUGUCAGUUACAGUUUUUUGUUUAUACUUACAUCUGCAUUGAAUUGCUAAAUCCUAGCAAUAAUGACCUGCUACACCACUUAAAUGAUAGAUUAACUAUACACUCUCUACUCUUUCCUCUAUGCUUUUUAAGCGUAGACCAAAACACUAACCUUCUUUUGAACUCUCUUGGUUUUGUUGGAUCUUACCUAGUUCAAAAAUAAAAUUCUGCAGCUGGACAGAAAGCCAUCAAAGUGUGUGGUGUUUGAGGACAACCCUAGGGGUAUAACUGCUGCUCACAACUGUACAAUGAUGGCUGUGGCACUUAUUGGUGCUCACCCAGCGUAUGUAUUACUGUUUUCUGUUUUUUCCCCUUAUUGUUGAAGCUCUUGAUUCUGUCUUUGUUGAACUGUCUUAUUGUAUUAUGUUUGGACACGAAAUUUUCUUUGCUGCCCAAAAGGAGUCCCAGACUCUUCCUCCCUCUAGGGUGGGUGAGUUUAGGACUAGGUGCUUACUUCAAUGUCUGUUUGAAGUGUUGAUAUAUUAAUACAAGUUCUGGAUUUUCUUGCUAUUUUAAUUUUCUUCAAAUGCAGAAAGUAUGUCACUGCUUCUGCUCGCAAAUUUUCAUUUAGGAGUUUGUAAGUUGCAGGUAUGAUUUAGUGCAAGCUGACCUUGCUGUAGGUAGCUUCAGUGAGCUUUCUGUGAUAAAUCUCAGGAGAUUAUUUGCACAUAAAGGCUCCAACUUUAUGGACCUAGAGAAACAAAUAGCGGAAAAAGCACCUCCUAUUCCUACUUGUAAAUGCCCUUUUAGUGUUAGAAUCUGUAGGUCUUGCAGUCCCUCUCCUUCAUUCAUUCUUUAGAUAAAUAGAGCUGGUAGAAGAU
rnacentral:lncRNA from 1 species